UUUACGUACGCGCACAUUUUUACGGAAGGCUCACUUCGUUUCCAAAUCGGACAGAAGUAGGUGUUGGGAUAUUAUGAACUUCAUCUAGAUUAUGAUUAUGGCUGCAAAACCAGGGAUACUCAGCAAGAUCACGCUACAGAUCUUGCUCGUCUUUAUGAUUUCGAACAGUUUGGGAUCCCCACUUCCCGUCCAGAUGGACAAAACGGACGGAAUCAUUGACCAAAGUUUCUUGAAAGGUUAAGUCCACCCAUUGUUUUAGACUUAUAUGAGUUAAUCUCCCCUAAUCGCACCUCUGUAAAAAAUCCAAUAAAAUUCUACUUAAAAUGGGUACAAAUUUUUUUCUUUAAAACGAUAUUAUUAGUUUGAUUUUUGUCCACCUGAAGGGUCGGAAAUCCCAAACGUUCAAUUUUGAAAAUCCAUUCCAAAGUAGUCCACCACUCGGAAUGAAACCUUUUUUCAAACUACACCAGGAUUUUGCAGCGACUUAUAUUUUUAAAUAAUCAAGCCAAAACUUAGGAAUCACAUGACACUUAUUUCUCUGUUCUAUGUAUGAAUAAAAAUUUUGGGGGCAUCGAUUACACUAUUUCAUCCCUAAAAGACGACAUAUUUACUAAAAAAAAUUGAACUUUGUCGCAAAUAUGUUUCUUCAAGGAGCCAUUCAACGGACAGGUAGGGGACAAGGGAUUCCUUAUCUUAGGCUCGAUUUUUUACAUAAUUCACUUAUGUAUAGCUUGUAAAAAUUUCAUUGUUACUAUCUCAACCCUAGCCGUGCUGCUAAAUUGUUCCCGAAAAAUUUACCAGGUCAAUAAAUAAUUCCAUUAAGCUUCAGAUUUCCCUCUUGACAAGGAAACAAGAUCCCGAAUGGUGGACUUCACCCGGAAAGUCCAGCACGGCCAGAUAGCGCCAGGGUCAAUUCUUACCGUGAAAACAAGAACCGGUCGACACACCCGUCCAACAUGACGCCGUUCAUCUUGUAUGGCGGGUGCAGCUCCAACUACGGAAGUAAUCCUUACGGCCAGAGAAGCAACAUUAUUACGCGAUAAGACGGUUGUAUCCCUUGUUAAGAAGCUUUUACACUGAAAAUCCAUUUGAAUAUUUAAUAAAUCUAUUUAUUUGCAUUGCUAAAUACUUAUGCUUCAUAUAAAUACGUCAGAGAUAUUGUAUAUUUGCACGCAGCUAAAUAAAUUAUACUUAACUACAUA